AUCUCUAUAGCUUAACAGUAGAGUAUAAUACUAUUAAUAUUAGGAUAGAAGUUCGAUUCUUCUUAGGGGCG
rfam:Coniochaeta ligniaria NRRL 30616 unplaced genomic scaffold CONLIGscaffold_20, whole genome shotgun sequence.